rnacentral:rRNA from 1 species
UACGAAGGGUGCAAACGUUGCUCGGAAUCAUUGGGCGUAAAGCGCACGUAGGCGGCUUUGCAAGUCGGAUGUGAAAUCCCGUGGCUCAACCAUGGACGUGCAUUCGAAACUGCAAAGCUUGAGUAUGGAAGAGGGUCGCGGAAUUCCCGGUGUAGAGGUGAAAUUCGUAGAUAUUCGCAAGAACACCAGUGGCGAAGGCGGCUCACUGGCCCGUAACUGACGCUGAGGCACGAAAGCGUGGGGAGCAAACAGG